GGCGGUUCUCAGGUGAUGCACCCCAGAAUCGGGCUCCCUCCUCUUUGGUUCUGGGUGCGUAACCCAAGAAUUGCA
rfam:Myotis lucifugus cont2.32547, whole genome shotgun sequence.